UGGAUAGAUGACUUCUUGUUGGUUUUGAAUUUUGAGAAACAUGUUUCUCUGCCUUAUCACAACUCUCAGCUGCUACUGUGGAGCAAAUGAUUAGUUCACUGCUAAAGUGGAAUAUGAAAAGAAUAUCUUAUUUAUAUAUUGCCCAUCACCAUAUCGCUAGGCACUGUGCCCGGCCAAUUGGCUCAAAGAGAAGCAGCUAUUCUGCCAAAAGAAGAACUAAGAAAAACAUAAUCCACAAAUGAAGAGCUAGUGAAGAGCGCAGACACAAUAGUCAAAGAUGAACUGUUCUAAAUAGAAAGACCUAGCACUGAGCAUUGAAGACAGCUACGAAGACAAUCUGACAGAUGUGGCAGUUUAUACAUGUGCUGUUGUUUCUGACAGAGCAAUAACUUUUGACCUGGAUUAAGUCUAGACUUACAACAAAGACGGAAGAAAUGAAUCCCACGAUUAAAGGUGAACCAGAAGGCACUGAAGAUGAUCCAUACGGUGAUACUACUGCAUAUACCUGUGUUGCUCGUACCUGUCCCAAAACUGAAUUCUUGACUUUUAUGGUGGAAGGACUAUCAGCAGACUACCACUGAAUGUCUUAACAUCCAAGAGAAAGGACAAGCCACAGGUGCACAACUGAGCUCAGCCCAGAAUAUCAGAAGGCUUCCAGAAAAUACUAGCAAAGAAGCUGUGUGAUUUAAAUGAAAAUUCAAGACCCCAACAGUCAAGAACUUGGGAUGGGAUGUUAAGACUAUUUCAUUUUUAUGAAAAAUGUGUUAUCAAGUGGACCUGCCAUGAAAGUGUGCAGUUCUGAAACUCUCUAAAAAGAUGCAGUAGCCACAACACAUAUGCAAAUAGGAGCAGAUACCAAGCUCAAAAGUAGCCUCCAUAUGCUUGUCAAAACCAAGAUUUCAAUUCCAUAGAUUCAGAGA